GUCACAUUAGCACUUUGUGCUUCUGAGCUUUGUAUCUGUCACUCUAGACAUAUCAAGAUGAUCUCCCAGACUCAGCUACUCUGGCUCCUCGCGCUCUGCAUUCAAGAUUCCAGUGGACAGACUGUGAUGACUCAGACUCCAGAAUCCCUGGCAGUGUCUCCAGGAGACAGAGUCACCAUCAACUGCAAAGCCAGUUCCUGUGUUAGCAACUGGAUGGCCUGGUACCAACAGAAAUCAGGACAAGCCCCUAAGCUCCUUAUCUACAGCGCUUCCAGCCGUCCCUCUGGGAUCCCAGACCGGUUCAGUGGCAGUGGGUCUGGCACUGAUUUCACGUUCACAAUCAGCAGGGUUGAAGCAGAUGAUGCUGGAGAUUUUUACUGCCAAAAGUAUAAGAGUGCCCCACUCGCACAGUGAUACGAACCAGCACAGAAACCUCCCUACUAUGUAGUUUCAGACUCUCACUCAGUAUUUCAGUUGCUUCCUGUGCAGCUUAAUUGUGUGAUUGCCUCUGCUGCCCUGCAGUGGGGUGGCUGGGUGUGUCAGACUUCGAUCACCUCCCUCCACACUGAAGAACUUCCGGUCCUUUCAGGUGCUCACAAUAGGUGUUCAGCACUCUUUACUCAGCAAUUGCCCCCUGCCCGCUAACAUGGAUUUGCUCUUAUGGGUUGCAUC